AUGACGUCAAGUCACUCAUCGGCCCGUUACGGCCUGGGCUACACACGUGCUACAAUGGUCGGUACAAAGGGUUGCCAAGCCGCGAGGUGGAGCUAAUCCAUAAAACCGAUCGUAGUCCGGAUCGCAGUCUGCAACUCGACUGCGUGAAGUCGGAAUCGCUAGUAAUCGUGAAUCAGAAUGUCACGGUGAAUACGUUCCCGGGCCUU
rnacentral:rRNA from 1 species